rnacentral:rRNA from 1 species
UACGGAGGGUGCAAGCGUUAUCCGGAUUCACUGGGUUUAAAGGGUGCGUAGGUGGAGUGGUAAGUCAGUGGUGAAAUCUCCAAGCUUAACUUGGAAACUGCCGUUGAUACUAUCAUUCUUGAAUAUCGUGGAGGUAAGCGGAAUAUGUCAUGUAGCGGUGAAAUGCUUAGAUAUGACAUAGAACACCGAUUGCGAAGGCAGCUUGCUACACGAUCAUUGACACUGAGGCACGAAAGCGUGGGUAGCAAACAGG